GUGGGAUCGCGAAGACAGCCAGGAGGUUGGCUUAGAAGCAGCCAUCCUUGAAAGAGUGCGUAAUAGCUCACUGGUCGAGUGGUUCUGCGCCGACAAUGUAAUGGGGCUCAAGUACACCGCCGAAGCCGCGGCAACGACCCUUUGAUGGGCGUUGGGUAGGGGAGCGUCGUGCAUGGGGUGAAGCCAUACCGUGAGGGGUGGUGGACUGUGUGCGAGUGAGAAUGCAGGCAUGAGUAACGAUUUGGAAAGUGAGAAUCUUUCCCGCCGGAUGACUAAGGGUUCCUGGGUCAAGUUCGUCUUCCCAGGGUGAGUCGGGACCUAAGGCGAGGCCGACAGGCGUAGUCGAUGGAUAACGGGUUGAUAUUCCCGUACCCGUGUGUGUGCGACCAGUGGUGAAUCAGUGAUACUAACCACCCACAAUCCUUCCGGGUCAGGCUUUGCCUGGUCUGGUUGGGGCGUGCGUGGGGCCUGAACUGGUAGUAGCCAAGUGAUGGGGUGACGCAGUGGGGUAGCCGUGCCACUUAUUGGAUUGUGGUGUAAGCGUGUAGCACGAGGGGAGUGGUAAAUCCGCCCCUCACAUAAAGUGUGAGACGUGAUGCGUAGCCCUUUUGGGGUGAUGUCGGUGAUCCCGUGCUGUCGAGAAAAGCCUCUAGCGAUGUACAUGCAUGGCCCGUACCCUAAACCGACACAGGUGGUCAGGUAGAGAAUACUAAGGCGUUCGGGUGAACUGUGGUUAAGGAACUCGGCAAAAUGCCCCCGUAACUUCGGGAGAAGGGGGGCCCACACCGGUGACGGACUUUACGUCCUUGAGCUGGGGUGGGUCGCAGAGAAUAGAGGGAAGCGACUGUUUAUUAAAAACACAGGUCCGUGCGAAAACGUUGAAGUUGAUGUAUACGGACUGACGCCUGCCCGGUGCUGGAAGGUUAAGAGGACCGGUUAGCUGCCUUUGGGCGGCGAAGCUGAGAAUUUAAGCCCCAGUAAACGGCGGUGGUAACUAUAACCAUCCUAAGGUAGCGAAAUUCCUUGUCGGGUAAGUUCCGACCUGCACGAAUGGCGUAACGACUUCCCUGCUGUCUCAACCACAGGCCCGGUGAAAUUGCAGUACGAGUAAAGAUGCUCGUUACGCGCGGCAGGACGAAAAGACCCCGGGACCUUCACUAUAGCUUGGUAUUGGUGUUCGGUUCGGUUUGUGUAGGAUAGGUGGGAGACGUUGAUCACAUGACGCCAGUUGUGUGGGAGUCGUUGUUGAAAUACCACUCUGAUCGGAUUGGAUACCUCAACCUUGGCCCAUGAUCUGGGUCGGGGACAGUGCCUGGUGGGUAGUUUAACUGGGGCGGUUGCCUCCUAAAUGGUAACGGAGGCGCCCAAAGGUUCCCUCAGCCUGGUUGGCAAUCAGGUGGUGAGUGUAAGUGCACAAGGGAGCUUGACUGUGAGAGUGACAGCUCGAGCAGGGACGAAAGUCGGGACUAGUGAUCCGGCACCUACUUGUGGAUGUGGUGUCGCUCAACGGAUAAAAGGUACCCCGGGGAUAACAGGCUGAUCUUCCCCAAGAGUCCAUAUCGACGGGAUGGUUUGGCACCUCGAUGUCGGCUCGUCGCAUCCUGGGGCUGGAGUAGGUCCCAAGGGUUGGGCUGUUCGCCCAUUAAAGCGGUACGCGAGCUGGGUUUAGAACGUCGUGAGACAGUUCGGUCUCUAUCCGCCGCGCGCGUGGAAACUUAAGGAAGGCUGUCCCUAGUACGAGAGGACCGGGACGGACGUACCUCUGGUGUGCCAGUUGUUCCGCCAGGAGCAGGGCUGGUUGGCUACGUACGGAAGGGAUAACCGCUGAAAGCAUCUAAGCGGGAAGCCUGUUUCGAGAUGAGGUUUCUGUUGAGGUUCCCCAUAGAUGAUGGGGUUGAUAGGCCGGAUCUGGAAGCACAGUAAUGUGUGGAGGUGACCGGUACUAAUUGACCGACCAACAACACACCCCACA
rnacentral:rRNA from 1 species